rnacentral:rRNA from 1 species
CUACGGGCCGCUGCAGUGGGGAAUAUUGGACAAUGGGGGAAACCCUGAUCCAGCAAUGCCGCGUGUGUGAAGAAGGCCUGCGGGUUGUAAAGCACUUUCGGUUGGGAGGACUGCUUCUAGCACUAAUAUUGUUGGAAGUUGACGUUACCUUCAGAAGAAGCACCUGCUAACUCAGUGCCAGCAGCCGCGGUAAUACUGAGGGUGCAAGCGUUAAUCGGAAUUACUGGGCGUAAAGCGCGCGUAGGUGGUUAGAUCAGUUGGGUGUGAAAGCCCCGGGCUUAACUUGGGAACUGCAUCCGAUACUGUCUAGCUUGAGUACAGGAGAGGAGAGUUGAAUUCCACAUGUAGCGGUGAAAUGCGUAGAUAUGUGGAGGAACACCAAUGGCGAAGGCAGCUCUCUGGCCUGAUACUGACGCUGAGGUGCGAAAGCGUGGGGAGCAAACAGGAUUAGAUACCCCAGUAGUC